GACGUAGGGCGCGAGCGUUGUCCGGAUUUAUUGGGCGUAAAGAGCUCGUAGGCGGCUUGUUGCGUCGGCUGUGAAAACCCGCAGCUCAACUGUGGGCUUGCAGCCGAUACGGGCGGGCUGGAGUUCGGUAGGGGAGACUGGAAUUCCUGGUGUAGCGGUGAAAUGCGCAGAUAUCAGGAAGAACACCAAUGGCGAAGGCAGCUCUCUGGGACGGUACUGACGCUGAGACGCGAAAGCGUGGGGAGCGAACAGG
rnacentral:rRNA from 1 species